rnacentral:rRNA from 1 species
GAUGAACGCUGGCGGCGUGCCUAAUACAUGCAAGUCGAGCGAACGGACGAGAAGCUUGCUUUUCUGAUGUUAGCGGCGGACGGGUGAGUAACACGUGGAUAACCUACCUAUAAGACUGGGAUAACUUCGGGAAACCGGAGCUAAUACCGGAUAAUAUUUUGAACCGCAUGGUUCAAAAGUGAAAGACGGUCUUGCUGUCACUUAUAGAUGGAUCCGCGCUGCAUUAGCUAGUUGGUAAGGUAACGGCUUACCAAGGCAACGAUGCAUAGCCGACCUGAGAGGGUGAUCGGCCACACUGGAACUGAGACACGGUCCAGACUCCUACGGGAGGCAGCAGUAGGGAAUCUUCCGCAAAGGGCGAAAGCCUGACGGAGCAACGCCGCGUGAGUGAUGAAGGUCUUCGGAUCGUAAAACUCUGUUAUUAGGGAAGAACAUAUGUGUAAGUAACUGUGCACAUCCUGACGGUACCUAAUCAGAAAGCCACGGCUAACUACGUG